UACGAAGGGGGCUAGCGUUGUUCGGAAUCACUGGGCGUAAAGCGCACGUAGGCGGACUAUUAAGUCAGGGGUGAAAUCCCGGGGCUCAACCUCGGAACUGCCUCUGAUACUGUUAGUCUCGAGACCGGAAGAGGUGAGUGGAAUUCCUAGUGUAGAGGUGAAAUUCGUAGAUAUUAGGAAGAACACCAGUGGCGAAGGCGGCUCACUGGUCCGGUUCUGACGCUGAGGUGCGAAAGCGUGGGGAGCAAACAGG
rnacentral:rRNA from 1 species